rnacentral:misc_RNA from 1 species
UUUCCGUAGGUGAACCUGCGGAAGGAUCAUUCAUAAUAAGUGUUUUAUGGCACUUUUUUAAAUCCACAUCACCUUGUGUGCAAUGUCAGGGUUGAUUUUUCUCUCGAGAGGAUCAGCCCCAAACAUCAACUAUAUCUCAACUCUUUGUCUGAAGAAUAUUAUGAAUAAAACAAUUCAAAAUACAACUUUCAACAACGGAUCUCUUGGCUCUC